CCAGGCUCCUGUGUGCAAGCAUAACAGAGUGUCGUCAAUAGUGUCAGGGACUGGUGCUUGUCCAUGGGAUUGGUCUCAAGUUGGGCCAGUUAUUGGUCGGCCAUUCCCUUUGUCUCUGCUCCAUCUUUGUCCCUGCAUUUCUUGACAGGACAAACUUCGGGUCAAAGUUUUGUGGAUGGGUUGGUGCCCAUCUACUGGGUCCUGCCAGGCUGGUACCAUAAAGGAGCAGACUCAAAUAAAGAAAAUCCACGCUCCGGUAUUCCAGCUGGCACCUGAGGCCGGCCGGCUGGAUGCAGCCCUGAGCAUCUGUGUCCCGUUGCCUUAUAGCCUCCUCCCAGCACAGUUUCAUCGUGGCCUUCAGUUGCUGUAUGGACCCAGCAGCAAGAAAUUCUCAAAACAGACUAGAACGAAGAAAAAUAAAUGGAACUGCAGUAACAGAGCCACACAACUGUCCAGGAACUUCACACCAGCCAUGGAGCCGAGAGCCUCAUUUCUCAUGUGUAAAAUCAAAUAGAUUUUUAAGGAUGUCUAAGUAAGGAGAAAUAACAGCAUGAAACAGAACCACUGGGAAAAGUAGGAUAAAUCAACCCCAGAUAUAGUGGUGCUAACUUAGAAAAGAGACAAGAGCUUUAAACAAUGUUAAAAACAAUAGUGUAAUCAGAGAGACUCAAGAAAGUGUUGAAUUUGACAGAAGGAGAUGCCAGAGUGGAAGAGAUAGACAGUUUCUAGUUGCCAGGUGUUGUAAUUUGUAUAUGCAUGCCCAUGGAAGUAGAAAGACAUGGAGCAACCUCAUUGUCGCUCCUCCGUGGGUCUCACUGGCUUAGAGCUCAGCACAUAGGGCAGAAGGGCUGGCUAGCAAGCCCUAGAAGCUCACCUGCCUCCACCUUUCCAGCACUGGGAUACAAGGAACUGCCACCAUGUCCAGAUUUUAAAACCCAAGUUCUGGGGGUCAAACUAAAGCCCUCAUGUUUUACAGAGCAAGCACUUUACAAACUAACCUAUCUCCCCAGUUAAGCCAUUGCCCUUUCAAAAGUACAUUUUAUUUUUAUUUCUAUUUUUAUAUUUUUGCUGCCCAAGAAACAUAAAUCUUUUAUCUGUUGCCUGGGAUGGGUAGUUUAUAUCUUCUAACUUCAUGGCUCCUAAAGAACAUUUCUAGGCUGCUUGACUUCAAAAUUUGCCUAACUUAUGACUUCUUCUUUAAGUUGUAAUAGACAAAGAAAAUAUUAUUUUGACAGUUGGAAUAACUUGAAACUGCAGAAAAUUCAGUGAUGCAUAUAUACAUAUACAUAUACAUAUAUAUAAUGUAUAUACAUAUAUUCACUUAAAUGUAUAUGUAUAUGUAUGUGCAUGUAUAUAUAUAUAUAUAUAUAUAUACAUGUAUAUUCCUGUGAGAGAGAGAGAGAGAGAGACUGAAAGAGAGAGAGGAAAGUGUGUGUUCCUUUGAAACCCCUAGCAAAAUGAAAAUGCAUGCAGCUACUUUUAAGCUUGGACCUCUGUUUCUCUAUCUUAAUCCCACUAGCUGCCGACUGCCUGAGAAUUCUCUCCCCAUGUUGUCCUUCAAAUAUCCAUCCCUCACUUUGUAUACACUGGUGCCUGCCAAGCAGCACUUGGAGGAAAGGAGAAAGUACACACUACUCUGCAGGAGAGGAGGCUCUGAGCCAGGUUUCUGGUCUAUCCACCAAACUGGCACCUUCUUUGUAGAGCUGUUCCAGGAGCUGACUCAGACAGCCUUUCUACUCCCCAACUGUUAAUGACCCCAUGAACUCUGAUGGAUUAAAUCAAAUUAUACAGGUACCAAACCCUCCAGCUAGGUAUAAUGGCAGCUUGGAGUUUGCCGUGUACCACAAACUACAAACUACAUAGUUAUGUUAGCAGAGUACUUAUCGGCUCCCAUCUGUGUGCCCAAGGCUACACCUACAUCCAGGAGGCUCAAGCAGCAGAGUCUUUAUAUGGGCAGGUAAAGACUGCCCAAGUCUCUACCUUAUAAUUUUGUUCAGUCUAAACUCAGCAGGUUCCAACCAGAAUGUUCCUUCCUUGGGUCUGUGAGGCACAAGACUCCAGGCUGCCAUCCUCUUUGGCUAAGCUCACAGGCCCACUAGCCAAUAGGAAGGUCUCCUCUGAGGCCAGGGUGGAGGAUGGUCUUGAAGGCAAGGAAAAGGAGAAGAAAACUUUCUAGGUGACUGUUAUUUGGGAGGGAAACAAGGAAGGUCCUAGAACGCAGCUGCGAGGCACACACACAGAAGAGCUAAUGUUUUCUGGCUCCUGCCUUUACGGUUUUGGUCUAGAGUAAAGCCUGAGACACUGCCUAGGUUGUGUUGCCUUAUCCUCUGUUGUUUCUUGAUGAGGAUAACUCCAAGUUAGAAUUGAACUAAAGCCUAAAAUCCUAAACCUUAGCAACUCUUCCCCUAUCAUAAGUAUUUCUGACAAAGGGAGAACGGUUGUCGGUCCUCUCAGGGAGUCUGAGACAGUGUGUGGUCCUUCUCCAGUUCAUUUUCCAGUCUUACACACUCCACUCUUCUGUUCAGAUCCUCUUGGGUUCUGACAUCAACAUUCUGACUAGUGCUUCUCCAGGCAUGCCGCUCUGCCUCUCUGCAAGGUUUUACUAUACAGCUCAAGCCAGCCUCCAAGGUGCUAUCCUCCUGCCUAAGUUUUCUGAAUACUGAGACUGUACCUGAUUUGGAUUCUCCUUCUCCUUUCCCUUUGUUUCUUGUCUACUCCCUGCCCCCUUUAUCCUCUUUCUGCUCCCAUUACUUUCCCUUAUCCACUCUCCAGUGUUUCUCUAUGUUGCCCAGGCUGGCCUCGAACUCAUAAUCCUCCUGUUUUAGCCUCUCAAAUGCCAGGAUUACAAGCUCACACCACCAUACUUGGCUCAGUACCUAAUUUCUCUGCAUAUAGAAGUCAUGCAUCCAUGGUCUUUGGCCACUAAGAUGGAAGCUGUAGACAAGGCCAAAGUAAAAAAUAAACACUUCCCAUAUUCCCACCACCAGGAAAUAACAGCUUGUCUGUAUAUGCACUUCUAAUACUCCAUAUGUGAUCAUAAAGAGGUAUUAUGAUGCAUGAAUAAGGUUUUGUAGAGUAGCUUUUCCCUUCUUUAUGUGAAACUCACCAUUUUGUAUCCCUAAAUAUACUGAGUGGGCAAGGGUCUGCAUGAACUAUACUUCAGUAAACAAUUCUUAUCAGAUGCUAGCAUUUUUUUUCCCCAACCAUUUUAACCAUUGAAAUUGAUGCUUUGAUGAGUGUCCUUGUAAAUACACCUUUGUGCACACUCAUAAUUACUUUUACAAGAAACAUUCCUGGGAGUCAAAUUACUAGGUUAUAAGUUAUGCAGCCAAUGCGAUUGGUGUGUCUCCACUGGCAUACUUUAGCAAAGUUGCACUAAUUAAGAGCUCACCAAUCUUGAAAGUAGCUGUUUCCUUGAAGCUCCCACCUUCAACCCCAAGCACAGUGCGAUCGUGCUGCUUUGUUUCCAUGAACUGAAAAGGAAAAGCGAGCCGGG
rnacentral:lncRNA from 1 species